rnacentral:lncRNA from 1 species
AAGAAAGAAAAUUUUGAUGGAAAAAAGUUUUUGAAAAAUUAUAAAAUAGAACAAAAAAUAGGAAAAAAAAAGACAAAAUAAGAAAAUGAAAAAAUAAAAAAGAUUCAAAAAAUAAAAAUAAAAAAUAAAUUAAUAUAAAAUAUUAAUAUAAAAGAAAAAAAUAAACAAAAACAAAAAAUAAAAAAGGAAGAAAAUAAAAAAUUAGCUAAUAAAAAAUAUAAAAAGACGAAGUGAAGAAAACUUUGAAAUAUAAAAUAGAAAAAACUUUUAGUUUAGAAUAUACAAAGAGAAACAAAAAAAAAUAUAACAAAUAUAAAAAAUAAAAUAAAAAGUCAAUACAAAAUAUAAAUAAAAGCAAAAGGAAGUACACAAAAAGAGAAGUCUUGAGAUUUUAAAAUUGCAAAGAAGAAAUAAAAAAAAAUGUGAACAAAAAGAUAUAAGAAAAAGCAAGAAAAAAUAAAAAAAUUAAAAUACAAAACAUAUAAAAAAAAUUAAAACAAAAAAGAGAAAGCAAAUGAACAAAUAAGUUAAAAGAAAAAGAAAAAAAGAAUUACUGAAGAAUUAUAAAAAUAGAAUAGAAAAUACCAAAAAAAUAAAAAAUGACAGCAAAAAUGAGACAAACCAAAAGAAAAAAAGAUUAAAAUAUAAAGUAAAUAUCCAUAACAUUAUAAAAUUUUUAUAAAAAAUAACAAAAAUUAACAAAAAAAGUAAAAGGAAAAAAAAUAAGAGAAAGUAUUAAAGCAAAAGGAAAAAGAUAAAAUAAGUAAUAAAAAAAGAAAAAAAAUAAAAAAAUAAAGAAGUAAGGAAAAGAAAAAAUGAGUCAAAAAAUUUUAAAAAAAAUACAAAAACUAAUAAAAAUGAAAAAAAUGGCAAAAUAGAAAAAAAUUAAGUUUACAAAAUACAAACAAAAAAUAAUAAGAUAUAAAGAUAUAAAAAAUCAAAGAUAAAAAAUUAAAAGAAGUUCAAAAAUGAAAAGGGAUGAGAAAGUAGAAAAAAAUUUAAUUUAGAAAAUACAAGCAAAAAUAAUGUAAUAAGAAAAAAAUUAAAAAAAUCAAAGAUACAAAAAUUAACAGAGGGAAAAGUUAAAACAAAAUAAAAAUAAAAACAAAAUAAGAAAGUGUAAAAAAAAAAUGGAAACAAGAAAUAAAAAGAAUUUUGUGAAAAAAAUUAGAAAAACAAGAAAAAAUAAAAAAUGAAGAGGUAAAAAUAUGAAAUAAAACAAAAAGAAAAAAAGUUUUAUAGAAAAUUUUAAAACAAAGAAAAAAGUGAAAACAAAAAAAAAAUAUGAAAGCACAUGAAAAAAUAAGUAAAAAAAGGAAAAUUUUAAAAGGAAAAGGAGUUAAUGAAAAAUUAUAAAAAUACAAUAGAAAAUAACCAACAAUGAUAAAUAAAAA